rnacentral:sRNA from 18 species
CCUUGGGUUGAAACCCAAGGCUGCCAGAUUCCGUCGCUCCGCGACU